rnacentral:lncRNA from 1 species
UUUGAUGUUGUUUUGGAUGUAGUGUAUGCGACUCUCUUUUUGUUUCUUCUCUGUCAUAAUGAGGUCCUAAGGUCAUAAUGAGGUCAUAAUGAGGUCAUAAUGAGGUCAUAAUGAGGUCCUAAGGUCAUAAUGAGGUCAUAAUGAGGUCAUAAUGAUGCCCUAAGGUCAUAAUGAGGUCAUAAUGAUGCCCUAAGGUCAUAAUGAGGUCCUAAGGUCAUAAUGAGGUCAUAAUGAGGUCAUAAUGAUGCCCUAAGGUCAUAAUGAGUUCAUAAUGAUGCCCUAAGGUCAUUACAUUUACAUUUACAUUUAAGUCAUUUAGCAGACGCUCUUAUCCAGAGCGAC